rnacentral:rRNA from 1 species
GACGAACGCUGGCGGCGUGCUUAACACAUGCAAGUCGAGCGGAGCGGCGAACGGGUGAAUAACGCGUGAGUAACUGCCCCCCUCCCUGGGAUAACAGUUGGCAACGGCUGAUAAUACCGGAUAGUGGGGGAUGGCUCGGGUCCUAUGAGCUUGGGGGUGGGGUAGGUGCCUACCAAGGCGACGACGGGUAGCCGGCCUGGGCGGUUGACCGGCCACAUUGGGCUGAGAUACGGCCCAAACUCCAACGGGGGGCAGCAGGGGGGAGUAUUGCACAAUGGUGGAAACCCGGAGGCAGAAACGCCGCGUGCGGGAUGACGGCCUUCGGGUUGUAAACCGCUUUCAGCCAUGACGCGGUAGUGGCAGAAGAAGCACCGGCUAACUACGUGCCAGCAGCCGCGGUAAUAC